rnacentral:rRNA from 1 species
AUUGAACGCUGGCGGCAUGCCUUACACAUGCAAGUCGAACGGCAGCGGGGGAGAAGCUUGCUUUUCCUGCCGGCGAGUGGCGAACGGGUGAGUAAUACAUCGGAACGUGCCCUGUAGUGGGGGAUAACUAGUCGAAAGAUUAGCUAAUACCGCAUACGACCUGAGGGUGAAAGUGGGGGACCGCAAGGCCUUAUGCUAUAGGAGCGGCCGAUGUCUGGUUAGCUAGUUGGUGGGGUAAAGGCCUACCAAGGCGACGAUCAGUAGCCGGCCUGGGAGGGUGGACGGCCACACUGGAACUGAGACACGGUCCAGACUCCUACGGGAGGCAGCAGCUAAGAAUCUUCCGCAAUGGGCGAAAGCCUGACGGAGCGAUGCCGCGUGAUCGAUGAAGGUCGAGAGAUUGUAAAGAUCUUUUCUCCAUGAGGAAUAAUACCAGGAGGGAAUGCCUGGUAGAUGACGUUAGUGGAGGAAUAAGCCCCGGCUAAUUACGUGCCAGCCGCCGCCGUAAAAC